rnacentral:rRNA from 1 species
CAGUCGCCGCGGUAAGACAGAGGAUGCAAGCGUUAUCCGGAAUGAUUGGGCGUAAAGCGUGCGCAGGCGGUUGUGUAAGACAGGUGUGAAAUCCCCGGGCUUAGCCUGGGAACUGCGCUUGUGACUGCACAGCUAGAGUAUGGCAGAGGGGGGUGGAAUUCCAUGUGUAGCAGUGAAAUGCGUAGAGAUGUGGAGGAACACCGAUGGCGAAGGCAGCCCCCUGGGCCAAUACUGACGCUCAUGCACGAAAGCGUGGGGAGCAAACAGGAUUAGAUACCCCAGUAGUCCCUGUCUCUUAUAU